rnacentral:tRNA from 1 species
GGAGGCUUAGGCUAAUUGGUAAGUCAGUAGUCUUGAAAACUACCGCGAGUAAUCGCUUGGGGGUUCGAGUCCCUCAGCCUCCGCCA